rnacentral:lncRNA from 1 species
CCCGGCCGAGGCCCUCCACGGGGGUCGCACCUGCUUGCGCAAUCCUGCGGGCCCAGCUCUGUGGCGAGGGAGCGGUCGGUGUCUCCAGGCGCGCCCCGCGCCCCGGCAGCCCUGCGGAGGCGCCUGGGCCGCGGGCUGCGCGGGCGGAGCUGCCCGGCCGCGGGGAGGAGGGAUGCCCGGGCGAAAGUUGCCAGGGAAACUUGAUCAACUCGAGCGCGCCGGUGCCAGCCUCCUGCAUAAUUCACGGGCGGCGGCGGCGGGCCGCCGGGGGCCCCUCACCUGCACCGGCCGGGUCCUCCCCCCCAAUCCGGCUGGGGCGCGCAGCGGGCAGAGGCCCGGCACCAGGCGCCGGCGCUGCGCGACCCCGGGACUGGGGGGACCGACCCGCGACCCCCCGGGCCUGCGCCGGCCGCAGCCUCCCGGAGCCCGCUGCUCCAGACGCGCGCACCUGCAUGGGGGCUCUGUGCGCCGGCUCCGCGCUGGGUGACCGCUGCGGGGUCUCUGGGGACCCUGCGCCCGCGGCUUGGGUCCCCGCCCCCCGCGCGCCCCCUGGCGGCCCCGAGCCCGCUCCUCGGCCAAGCCUACGGACCCAAGUCCCCAGGCCGGCGGGUGGCGACCGAGGGUAGCCAGACCCCGGGCGGACCCUGGAGAUUUCAUUGCCACCAGGCCUCGUUGACGGCCUGCUCCUGUGGAAGCCAGAGUGCAGUAUGGGAUCGGCAUUGUGCGCUUCUGGAGGGUCUGGGGUCUCCUCGUUCACCUGGACCUGUGGCUCCCACGCACAGCCUGGCACAUGGUAGACACCCAGCACGCACCCAGCACAUGCCCAGCGUGUGCCCAGCAUGCACCAGCAUGCACCCAGCUCACUUUCAGAGGAGAAACGGAGGGAGGGAAGGAAGGUAGGA